rnacentral:tRNA from 4 species
GGGCGGUUAGCUCAGCUGGGAGAGCGCGGCGUUCGCAUCGCCGAGGUCGAGGGUUCGAUCCCCUUACCGUCCACCA